rnacentral:rRNA from 1 species
AUUGAACGCUGGCGGCAGGCCUAACACAUGCAAGUCGAACGGUAAUAGGAAGAAGCUUGCUUCUUUGCUGACGAGUGGCGGACGGGUGAGUAAUGUCUGGGAAACUGCCUGAUGGAGGGGGAUAACUACUGGAAACGGUAGCUAAUACCGCAUAAUGUCGCAAGACCAAAGAGGGGGACCUUCGGGCCUCUUGCCAUCGGAUGUGCCCAGAUGGGAUUAGCUAGUAGGUGGGGUAACGGCUCACCUAGGCGACGAUCCCUAGCUGGUCUGAGAGGAUGACCAGCCACACUGGAACUGAGACACGGUCCAGACUCCUACGGGAGGCAGCAGUGGGGAAUAUUGCACAAUGGGCGCAAGCCUGAUGCAGCUAUGCCGCGUGUAUGAAGAAGGCCUUCGGGUUGUAAAGUACUUUCAGCGGGGAGGAAGGGAGUAAAGUUAAUACCUUUGCUCAUUGACGUUACCCGCAGAAGAAGCACCGGCUAACUCCGUG